rnacentral:lncRNA from 1 species
CUUCUCUUUUAAUCAUCAAGAUUUUGGGUUUAAAUUUAUAAGAAUAUAUAAGUUAGGUGUAUAUCUUAGAUUAUAGUAUGUUAUCUAAGAUUAUUAAUGAUUUUAAACUUUUUGACUGAUUUUUGCUAUGGUCCACAUUUGUAAUUGUUUUACUUGAACUGUUCUCUAAUCAGGCUCACCUGUUAAUGCCCUGUCCAAUCAAAUCAGGCCCUCCCAAAUCACCUGAGACAGCUCGAGCAGCUGCCCCUGGGGUAAAAUAUCAACCCUGUCCCCUUUUAUGAUGCCCCCUGUGCUGCUCAGUAACUACUAGUGUCUUGCAUGUAUAAACAUGCUGAUAACUGUAAACUCAAUUAUGUAGAUAACCCCAGAAAUUACAGAGCUAAUCCAUUAAAACCAGAUGUUAUAGAGAUAAUCCAUGGAAUUAAAGAGAUAAUUAAUUUAAUAAAGCAGCUCUUGUGUUUGAAGAUUCUAAUACACUGAACCUGAGCUUUCGUGGCACUUAGCAGAAGCAUUUUAAUUACAGACAUGCUGAGUAAAUUGGUUUGUGUUAAGUCCUUCCUCCAGAGGACUACAGUACUAAACUCUGUUUAGUCUGUAAUGCAAAUAGUAUUUAACUUGCUGUGUUGUUUAAUCCAUAUCAUUUACCUAAGACUUGCAUUGAUGAAAAUAUUUUAGUUUUGUAUACCUUGAUUAUAAUGACACCAUAAUGGAUAAAAAAAAAUAAUAAUAAUCAAAGGCUGUGUUCGAAAUCGCACACUCUUUGAGUCUGAGUAGGUACUUCUUUUGAAUAAGCAAUUACUUCACAAAUCAGCACAUUAGCCGUGUUAUCAUUGUCAUGUGCCCUAGCAGUGUCAGUUGCAUUGCUUACUAAGUAAUCUGGGUACAUUUCACCUGCUGUUUUAUGAAAAUUAUGAAUUCAAACAUUCUACUCUUUUCAUAUACUGUUUAGACUACUAUAUAGUAGAGAAGUAUGCGAUUUCAAAUGCAGCCAAACUAUUUUUGUUGUUGUUGUUGAUCUUUCUUUUUUCUUCCUGUCUGUCCAGACCUCAGUCAAUCAGAAGGCUCAGGAGGUCACAUGCUGGUUGGAUCAGGCCUAUCAGGAGCUGAUAGAGGGGUGGGACUCCACUGAAGGAGAGAGCUAUGCUGAGAGAUACCAAGUCUUCCACACCUUCAUUGUGUCCUUUAAUGAGCAGCGGCGUCCUGUAAUGCCAUUACUAACAGCGAUGAAGAGGACUCCUCAUCUUAGUGCAGAGCAGAAAGCUCUUAGACGAGCCUGGGAUGCUCUUGCUGAGAAGGUCACUGCAUCACAGGAACUUUCUCUGUUGUGUUACUUGUUUGAUAUUUUAUAGGUUUUGAGUAUUCGACUGUGUGCUGAGAUUCUCAAUAGAAAAACAGAAACAUAACAUGUUUGUCUGAAUGCAUGUCAUCUAAAUAGAAAGCAUAUAGAAAUUCGUACAGUAGAAGUCUUAUGCUAAUUUAUGUCUAUGUGUAGCUACGAGAGUAUAAAACAGAGCUGGACAUGAGCCUUCCAUCCCCACUGGACACUGUAGGCCGCUGGUUAUUGCGUAUUGAAGAGGUUUUAUCUGUUGAAGAGGGCGAGCCAAUAGAUCACGCCCGAGCUGCGGAGGAGGCUCGGGAGAAACUUGAGAUACUAAAGGUUUGACUGACUGACUUCCUUUUAUUAUGGCUAUAGAGUUGUUCAGCCAUGAAAAUGUAGUAAGUAAUGUCAUAUUUCUGUCUGUGUGUUUAUCUGCAGGUGUGUUUGGAGGAGAUGCCACAUCAUAUCAAAAGGUUUAAUAUGUUUCAAAACACAAAUGAGUUUGGAGAGGCUCUGGUGCCAGCAGACAAGAUGGAAGAGAUGAAGAGAAGGUGGGUUUGAUUGCUUAAGUCAUAUUGCAAAUGAAACAGCAUCACUUUUAUUUGCAGUAUUGCUGUUCUUGUUUCAUGAAAUGCAGUAAACUAUUUCAUAUUUUUGUUUAUGCGUUCAUUUUCCAGGUUCACCAAUGUCCGUGUUACAGCUAAAUAUCAUGGUAUUAAGCUGGAGUACCGUGAGCGCAGACACACAGUGUUAGACCUUCUAAAUCAACUCAACAUUAAACUGCGAUCUUGGAAAAGAGCCUACAUUUCCCAGGAGGCUGUUCGUGUGCUAAUGCAGGACUGGAAUGUAAGUGAGAAUUUUAGUGAACUCAAAUAAAGUGAAUGUAUUUUUAAAAUAUAUUUGCUGCUAGGCAAUUAAAAUUAAACAUUAAACUCUGAAAUUAUAUAUGCUUUAUACUUUGAUCCCAAUGAAUGUUUUUAGGAGACUGUGAACAAACAGGAACUGACUUCUUUGCUGGAUGGAGCCCUCCAUAGACUCAAACUAAUCGCCAACAAAUACACCAGCAAGGCUGCCUUGGGUAAUACAAAGAAACUUUAUAUGCAUGCUCCUAAAAGACCAUAAAAUUAUAAUGAAAUGGU